GAAGACUAAGAACCGAAGGGAAAUUCUUUGAACCAUAGGAGACUCGUCUGCGAUGGGCUCUACCGGAAACUCCUGCCAUUGAUCGAAGCCAACGAAGCUGUUCCAGACGUGUUCAGCCCAACCUCGGUGCCAGGUUUUCUCUGUACCACAUGAGCUUGUCUUCUAUCUGUGAGAAAUAAGAUAUCUCAAGGCCUCAACUUAAUGAUUAAUGAUGCAAGUGGACAUGUUCCUAUUAGCA